GAUGAAGAACGUAGCGAAAUGCGAUAAGUAAUGUGAAUUGCAGGAUUCAGUGAAUCAUCGAAUCUUUGAACGCACAUUGCGCCCCUUGGUAUUCCGAGGGGCAUGCCUGUUCGAGCGUCAUUAUAACCCCUCAAGCUCAGCUUGGUGUUGGGGCCUGCUGCACUGGCAGCCCUUAAAAUCAGUGGCGGCGCCAUCUGGCUCUAAGCGUAGUAAUUCUUCUCGCUAUGGAGUCCUGGUGGAUGCUUGCCAUCAACCCCCAAUUUUUCUAUGUUGACCUCGGAUCAGGUAGGGAUACCCGCUGAACUUAAGCAUAUCAAUAAGCGGAGGA
rnacentral:misc_RNA from 1 species